rnacentral:rRNA from 1 species
CAAUAGCGUAUAUUGAAGUUGUUGCGGUUAAAAAGCUCGUCGUUGGAUUUCUGUUGAGGUCGAACAGUGCCGCCCUAUGGGUGCGCAACUGGCUCGGCUUCGGCAUCUUCUUGGAGAGCGCAUCUGCACUUAACUGUGUGGAUCGUACUUCAAGUCAGUUACUUGGAGGAAUUGUGAGUGUUUCAAGCAGGCUUACGCCGUUGAAUCCGUUAGCAUGGAAUAAUAGGAUAGGACCUCGGUUCUAUUUUGUUGGUUUUGAGAGCUGGGGCAGCGAUUGAUAGGGACGGAUGGGGGCGUCCGAACUUUACUGUCAGAGGUGAAAUUCUUAGAUCGGUCAAAGGCGAACUACUGCGAACGCAUUCGCCAAGAAUGUUUUCUUUAA